rnacentral:rRNA from 1 species
AUUGAACACUGGCGGCAUGCCUUACACAUGCAAGUCGAACGGUAACAGGUCUUCGGAUGCUGACGAGUGGCGAACGGGUGAGUAAUACAUCGGAACGUGCCUAGUAGUGGGGGAUAACUACUCGAAAGAGUGGCUAAUACCGCAUGAGAUCUACGGAUGAAAGCAGGGGAUCGCAAGACCUUGUGCUACGAGUGCGGCCGAUGGCAGAUUAGGUAGUUGGUGGGAUAAAAGCUUACCAAGCCGACGAUCUGUAGCUGGUCGGAGAGGACGAUCAGCCACACUGGGACUGAGACACGGCCCAGACUCCUACGGGAGGCAGCAGUGGGGAAUUUUGGACAAUGGGCGCAAGCCUGAUCCAGCAAUGCCGCGUGCAGGAUGAAGGCCUUCGGGUUGUAAACUGCUUUUGUACGGAACGAAAAGGCCCGGGUUAAUACCCUGGGGUCAUGACGGUACCGUAAGAAUAAGCACCGGCUAACUACGUGCCAGCCGCCGCCGUAA